rnacentral:rRNA from 1 species
UACAGAGGGUGCAAGCGUUGUUCGGAAUUAUUGGGCGUAAAGGGCGCGUAGGCGGUGCUGUAAGUCUGUGGUGAAAUCUCUGGGCUCAACUCAGAGUCUGCCAUAGAAACUGCAGUGCUGGAGUGUGGGAGAGGUGAGUGGAAUUCCCGGUGUAGCGGUGAAAUGCGUAGAGAUCGGAAAGAACACCAACGGCGAAAGCACUCUGCUGGGCCGACACUGACACUGAGAGACGAAAGCUAGGGGAGCGAAUGGG